rnacentral:rRNA from 1 species
AUGAACGCUAGCUACAGGCUUAACACAUGCAAGUCGAGGGGCAGCAUGGUCUUAGCUUGCUAAGACUGAUGGCGACCGGCGCACGGGUGAGUAACACGUAUCCAACCUGCCGUCUACUCUUGGACAGCCUUCUGAAAGGAAGAUUAAUACAAGAUGGCAUCAUGAGUCCGCAUGUUCACAUGAUUAAAGGUAUUCCGGUAGACGAUGGGGAUGCGUUCCAUUAGAUAGUAGGCGGGGUAACGGCCCACCUAGUCUUCGAUGGAUAGGGGUUCUGAGAGGAAGGUCCCCCACAUUGGAACUGAGACACGGUCCAAACUCCUACGGGAGGCAGCAGUGAGGAAUAUUGGUCAAUGGGCGAGAGCCUGAACCAGCCAAGUAGCGUGAAGGAUGACUGCCCUAUGGGUUGUAAACUUCUUUUAUAAAGGAAUAAAGUCGGGUAUGGAUACCCGUUUGCAUGUACUUUAUGAAUAAGGAUCGGCUAACUCCGUGCCAGCAGCCGCGGUAAUACGGAGGAUCCGAGCGUUAUCCGGAUUUAUUGGGUUUAAAGGGAGCGUAGAUGGAUGUUUAAGUCAGUUGUGAAAGUUUGCGGCUCAACCGUAAAAUUGCAGUUGAUACUGGAUAUCUUGAGUGCAGUUGAGGCAGGCGGAAUUCGUGGUGUAGCGGUGAAAUGCUUAGAUAUAACGAAGAACUCCGAUUGCGAAGGCAGCCUGCUAAGCUGCAACUGACAUUGAGGCUCGAAAGUGUGGGUAUCAAACAGGAUUAGAUACCCUGGUAGUCCACACGGUAAACGAUGAAUACUCGCUGUUUGCGAUAUACUGCAAGCGGCCAAGCGAAAGCGUUAAGUAUUCCACCUGGGGAGUACGCCGGCAACGGUGAAACUCAAAGGAAUUGACGGGGGCCCGCACAAGCGGAGGAACAUGUGGUUUAAUUCGAUGAUACGCGAGGAACCUUACCCGGGCUUAAAUUGCAGAUGAAUUACGGUGAAAGCCGUAAGCCGCAAGGCAUCUGUGAAGGUGCUGCAUGGUUGUCGUCAGCUCGUGCCGUGAGGUGUCGGCUUAAGUGCCAUAACGAGCGCAACCCUUGUUGUCAGUUACUAACAGGUUCCGCUGAGGACUCUGACAAGACUGCCAUCGUAAGAUGUGAGGAAGGUGGGGAUGACGUCAAAUCAGCACGGCCCUUACGUCCGGGGCUACACACGUGUUACAAUGGGGGGUACAGAAGGCCGCUACCACGCGAGUGGAUGCCAAUCCCCAAAACCUCUCUCAAUUCGGACUGGAGUCUGCAACCCGACUCCACGAAGCUGGAUUCGCUAGUAAUCGCGCAUCAGCCACGGCGCGGUGAAUACGUUCCCGGGCCUUGUACACACCGCCCGUCAAGCCAUGGGAGCCGGGGGUACCUGAAGUGCGUAACCGCGAGGAGCGCCCUAGGGUAAAACUGGUGACUGGGGCU